CCCUUCACAACAGAUAGUGGCAGUAGUAACCCCCUUAAAGGGAACGUCAACCACUGACAAUUAUAAUAGAAGAAGUAGCUUUGGUUGUUGGCUGCCGUUCACAUCAUAAAAGAGUCGCCUGAAUAUAGGUCUUCACGGAGUACGGAGCAAUUUCUCUCUCAGUCUCUACUGACACAGAGGAGAUGAUCAACUUGAUAGCCACAGUGAAAAUGGAGGAGAUCCCCAAGCUUCAACUCUCCAAAGUGAAUUUUAAGACACCUCAAAAUCUGGAGAUGAAGGUCCGGUCCAGCUAACGCUUCCAGUUUUUCCAGAGACUGCCAUGGGGGACACGUGAAGAAAUUUCAGGGCCAUGUGGUGCACACAUCAUACAUGAAUGUACACCCACAAACCAAGAAUGCUGUUUACUGUAAUGCCUGCAAACAUUCAGGACUUCCAAAUGCCCAAUGAGAUUUUACUUCCAAUAGAGGCUAUAGAAAGAGCCUGUUUAAAGAUGGGGGAUUUGCGUCACAUGUGAAAUCUGACACGCAUUAGAGUUAUGUUAGCCAAUUAGAUACUUUGAUGUGAUUCUCACAGGAGUGCAAUCAAGCUUUGCUGCACUUCUUACAUUUUCCAGUAGUUUAAGUAUCUUUUUUGAUACAAAAUUAGAUUAUGAAUUCUUACGGUGCAUCACUGUGAACUUUGGUACAGAAGCCUCAAAAAGUUGUGCAUCACUCUUAAGAAGAGUAUUAAGAAUUUAAGGUUGUGAGGUUUGGAUUGCUCGAUAUUAUGUGAUAUGUACAAUAAAAUAUUUGUAAGUCUUGUGAAUUUCUUUGUUGUUGAUAUAUAUAAUUUCUCAUAUUUUUAGAUAAUUUUUUAUUUAGUUCAUGAGUAGAUUAAGAAGCUUAUUGUGCAGGUCUUCCUGAUGUAAUUGGCCAUCAUUGCCUCUAUAAAGGUUUUGUGGCUUUUGACACACAAGUUGACAAGAGACUUCCUUUCCACAAUAUGACAAAAGCAUGAUAAAGUUUGUUCUGAAGGCUGUCCUUUCAAUUUGACAUUUUAUUUGUGAUUAAAUAAUCCACAAACUGACCUGGUAUUUACAGGGAUGAAUUAUCCAAAUAACAUUAUACUAACAUAAAAGACCACAUACUUCAUGCUCUUUUCAAAAACAAGUCUUUGUGUAUUUAUCAAUUUUGCUAAGAAUCCAAAGUUAGUCAGGUGUCUAAAGUCAUCUAAAGGACUAUGUAAUGAGAGAGUGACAAAA